AACUCCUGCCUCAGCCUCCCAAAGUGCUGGGAUUAUAGGCGAGAGCCACCAUGCUUGGCCCACCAUGCUAGUUUUUAAGUGAAUGAUACAAAUGCAUCUUGGCAGUUUGCUUCCUCGAACAUACAACAUCAGGUUGUGCUUUCUCAUGCUCGUAUGAAAUAAUCCUGAAUUAAGCCAACAUAGAUGUGCAGCAUACCUAGCGUGUGGACUUCAAGACACAAUCACUCCUUCAUUCACAUCCCUCUGUGACUUCAUCUAUGAUGCAUAUGCAUAUAAAUCCUAAUUGUUAAACACUUCCCACUUUCUAUUCAAGUGCCAUGACAGUAGUCAGCUUGAAAGUCUAUGCAGAUGUUAGAAUAAUUUUUAAAAAGCAUGUUAUUUAGAAGCAUCUAUGCUAUAAAUAUCAAGCUAUACAUGAAGGGCCACUUACAAUAGGAGAAUUAUUUUAUGAUAUAUACCAUACCAGGGCACUUUAAAACAGGCAGGUAAUCUUAAACUUCUCCUCUUCCAAAAACCAGUGCAAGAAAUAGCACCUGAUAUUUGGUUUCUUCUUUAAUAGCCUGGCUAAAUCAUAUAAAAUCCCAAUGUGGUUUCCCUUUCCAGGCAAAGCCCCACAUUUAUAUAAUCCUCAAAACCAUUGCUUGAGUGUUGCUGUGCCCUUUCUGCAACUCAUGUUUCAAGGAUACACUGUUUAAAGAGUUUGAAGGAAGAAGAAUCCAGCUGCCUUGUAACAUCAGCACAGAGCAAACUAGGGUGUACAUAGUGACUGCAUACAAACAGGUGGAACUUAUUUUGUGUUGCAUUUCUGCACAGAGAACAAAACCAUGAAAACACUUCUUAUAGUUAUGCAGACUCAAAGCAAGAUCAGUUUAACUCAUCCAAUCCUAAUAUGUUGUCUCUAGGUUCCAGGUGGCAUGCCCUUUGUUUUGAUGUUCAACCUACCUACAGAGCUGGUAUUAACCUCCAAUGAGAGACUUAUCAGUGGGUCACAUUUCCACCUCUGACGUGACCUAUUCGAGUUGGGGAAGACAUCCACAACCAACAUGGCCAUUAGGCUUCAUCUCCAAGAUGGUGGCCUUGCUAAGCCAGUGGCUAUGAAUACUUAUGUUUGUUUUGAUGUGAAACCACUUACUAUUUACUGUUAUCUGGUGUGCUCAAAAUACUAUCAUUUAAAAAACGGUUCUUCAUGAUUUAGUUAAUUUCUUUUAGACAAGACUUGGUUGCUUUCAAAUUAGAUAAAGGAAAAAGGAGUCAUUUAAAAAUAAAAAGUGACUUGGUAUUUAUUUGUCCAAUUUCAGGUUUGCAGAGAACCAGCAACCUGACAAGCAGCCACUUCUCCUCUAGAUACCAGUGUUAAGCAGGCUGAAGGUCAGAAUCCUGGCAGUUUGUCUCCUACAACAUACAACAUCAGAUUGUGCCAGGAGAGCGCUCCUACGAGUAAAGAUCAACGAUCAAGAUCAAAGAUCCCCAAAAUGGCAAAUACAUAUGUGUAAGAGCUCAAAGUUGGAAGACAUUCCUCUACCGUCUAUUUAUUCUGGUUAUACAUUAAAGCAUAGGAGUUCAUAGCUGAAAAAGAACUGGUUUCUAGGGCAGUCAUUUGGAUCAGAAGGGAUCCACCGAGCUGGGAGUAGGAAAAGAAGGGGGAUGUUACUCACCAACAACCGGAAAAAGAAUUCAGUUGGCCUUAGGAGGAAACUGACUAAGGAUUUGGAAGAAGUGGUCUGUCCCAGAAAUAGACAUUAGCAAAGACCACCAGGCCACUUUUCUUUCUCUGGAAGACUUUCCCAUUGUACUCUCCUUGUGGUCUUAAGUGUGGCAUUAUUUCCACAUAUCCAGCACUUCACCAAAAAGGUCCUUUUCCAAAGAUUACAAAGGGCUCAAGCCUCGAAUACUCCCGAAUUCUCAAGGCAAUGAACUUUGAUACAGUG